rnacentral:rRNA from 1 species
UGCGUAGGCGGCCAGAUCAGUCAGGCGUGAAAGUUUUCGGCUUAACCGGAAAAUUGCGUUUGAUACUGUUUGGCUAGAAUCAGGAUGAGGUUGGCGGAAUGUGGCAUGUAGCGGUGAAAUGCAUAGAUAUGCCAUAGAACACCGAUUGCGAAGGCAGCUGGCUGGACCUGAAUUGACGCUGAGGCAUGAAAGCGUGGGGAGCGAACAGGAUUAGAUACCCUGGUAGUCC